rnacentral:rRNA from 1 species
GAUGAACGCUGGCGGCGUGCCUAAUACAUGCAAGUCGAGCGAACGGACGAGAAGCUUGCUUCUCUGAUGUUAGCGGCGGACGGGUGAGUAACACGUGGAUAACCUACCUAUAAGACUGGGAUAACUUCGGGAAACCGGAGCUAAUACCGGAUAAUAUUUUGAACCGCAUGGUUCAAGAGUGAAAGACGGUCUUGCUGUCACUUCUAGAUGGAUCCGCGCUGCAUUAGCUAGUUGGUAAGGUAACGGCUUACCAAGGCAACGAUGCAUAGCCGACCUGAGAGGGUGAUCGGCCACACUGGAACUGAGACACGGUCCAGACUCCUACGGGAGGCAGCAGUAGGGAAUCUUCCGCAAUGGGCGAAAGCCUGACGGAGCAACGCCGCGUGAGUGAUGAAGGUCUUCGGAUCGUAAAACUCUGUUAUUAGGGAAGAACAUAUGUGUAAGUAACUGUGCACAUCUUGACGGUACCUAAUCAGAAAGCCACGGCUAACUACGUG